UUUCGAAUCAUCCACAAUGGGCGAAAGCCUGAUGGUGCGACGCCGCGUGAGGGAUGAAGGUCCUCGGAUUGUAAACCUCUGUCACCAGGGAGCAAAAACUAGACUCAUACUCUAGCUUGAGUUAACCUGGAGAGGAAGUAGUGGCAAACUCCGUGCCAGCAGCCGCGGUAAUACGGAGACUACGAGCGUUACUCGGAUUUACUGGGCGUAAAGGGUGCGUAGGCGGUUUGUCAAGUCAGUUGUGAAAUCUCCGAGCUUAACUCGGAACGGUCAACUGAUACUGUCAAACUAGAGUACAGAAGGGGCAAUCGGAAUUCUUGGUGUAGCGGUGAAAUGCGUAGAUAUCAAGAGGAACACCUGAGGCGAAGGCGGGUUGCUGGGCUGAUACUGACGCUGAAGCGCGAAAGCUAGGGUAGCAAACGGGAUUAGAUACCCUUGUAGUCCCUGAGCGGGCUGGCAAGGCGCAU
rnacentral:rRNA from 1 species